GACUUAAAAUCCGUCGACUUUAUAAAUCGUGAGGGUUCAAGUCCCUCUAUCCCCC
rnacentral:tRNA from 1 species